UCCCGGUUGCUUCCUUAACACUGUGUGGGG
rnacentral:piRNA from 1 species